AGAUCUGUAAGCUCAAAUUGGCAUGAGCGCUCAAUUCCGAAUUUGGGGUUGAGAUGAUGGUGGUUCAAAUCCGCUCAGAUCUU
rfam:Vitis vinifera, whole genome shotgun sequence of line PN40024, unordered unoriented unplaced sequences